rnacentral:rRNA from 1 species
UACGUAGGGUGCGAGCGUUGUCCGGAAUUAUUGGGCGUAAAGAGCUCGUAGGCGGUGUGUUACGUCGGCCGUGAAAACCUGCAGCUUAACUGUGGGCGUGCGGUCGAUACGGGCAUCACUGGAGUUCGGCAGGGGAGACUGGAAUUCCUGGUGUAGCGGUGAAAUGCGCAGAUAUCAGGAGGAACACCGGUGGCGAAGGCGGGCCUCUGGGCCGAUACUGACGCUGAGGAGCGAAAGCGUGGGGAGCAAACAGG